GACGAACGCUGGCGGCGUGCUUAACACAUGCAAGUCGAACGGAAAGGCUCCAGCUUGCUGGAGUACUCGAGUGGCGAACGGGUGAGUAACACGUGGGUAAUCUGCCCUGCACUCUGGGAUAAGCCUGGGAAACUGGGUCUAAUACUGGAUAUGACCUUUCUCCUUAUGGGGUUUGUUGGAAAGUUUUUCGGUGUAGGAUGAGCCCGCGGCCUAUCAGCUUGUUGGUGGGGUGAUGGCCUACCAAGGCGACGACGGGUAGCCGGCCUGAGAGGGUGAUCGGCCACAUUGGGACUGAGAUACGGCCCAGACUCCUACGGGAGGCAGCAGUGGGGAAUAUUGCACAAUGGGCGGAAGCCUGAUGCAGCGACGCCGCGUGAGGGAUGACGGCCUUCGGGUUGUAAACCUCUUUCAGCAGGGACGAAGCGUAAGUGACGGUACCUGCAGAAGAAGCACCGGCUAACUACGUG
rnacentral:rRNA from 1 species